rnacentral:rRNA from 1 species
GGGCCCGCACAAGCGGUGGAGCAUGUGGUUUAAUUCGAUGCAACGCGAAGAACCUUACCUGGUCUUGACAUACACAGAAUCUUGUAGAGAUACGAGAGUGCCUUCGGGAAUUGUGAUACAGGUGCUGCAUGGCUGUCGUCAGCUCGUGUCGUGAGAUGUUGGGUUAAGUCCCGCAACGAGCGCAACCCUUGUCCUUAGUUACCAGCGGGUUAAGCCGGGAACUCUAAGGAUACUGCCAGUGACAAACUGGAGGAAGGCGGGGACGACGUCAAGUCAUCAUGGCCCUUACGACCAGGGCUACACACGUGCUACAAUGGCAGUGACAAUGGGUUAAUCCCCAAAAACUGUCUCAGUUCGGAUUGUCGUCUGCAACUCGACGGCAUGAAGGUGGAAUCGCUAGUAAUCG